ensembl:rRNA 5S_rRNA 5S ribosomal RNA
GCCAUCAGGCCACACCACCCUGGGCACACAGCUGUUGUCUGAUCUCUGAAGCUCAAUACAGUCAGGCCCAAUUAGUACUUGGAUGGGAGACUGCUUGGGAAUACUGGGUGCAGUAGGCU